UACGGAGGGGGCAAACGUUGUUAGGAAUUACUGGGCGGAAAGGGCGCGUAGGCGGCCAGUUGCGUCGGGUGUGAAAGCCCCGGGCUCAACCUGGGAGGUGCACUUGAUACGGGCUGGCUGGAAUCCGGGAGAGGAUGGUGGAAUUCCCAGAGUAGAGGUGAAAUUCGUAGAUAUUGGGAAGAACACCGAUGGCGAAGGCAGCCAUCUGGACCGGGAUUGACGCUGAGGCGCGAAAGCGUGGGGAGCAAACAGG
rnacentral:rRNA from 1 species